rnacentral:rRNA from 1 species
AUUGAACGCUGGCGGCAGGCCUAACACAUGCAAGUCGAACGAGUGGCGGACGGGUGAGUAAUGUCUGGGAAACUGACUGAUGGAGGGGGAUAACUACUGGAAACGGUAGCUAAUACCGCAUACCAUCAGAUGUGCCCAGAUGGGCUUAGCUAGUUGGGGGGGUAACGGCUCACCAAGGCGACGAUCCCUAGCUGGUCUGAGAGGAUGACCGGCCACACGGGAACUGAGACACGGUCCAGACGCCUACGGGAGGCAUCAGUGGGGAAUAUUGCCCGAUGGGCGCAAGCCUGAUGCAGCCAUGCCGCGUGUAUGAAGAAGGCCUUCGGUUUGUAAAGUACUUUCAGCGGGGAGGCGUUACCCUCAGAAGAAGCACCGGCUAACUCCGUGCCAGCAGCCGCGGUAAUAC